ACCUUCGGGCCUCUUGCCAUCGGAUGUGCCCAGAUGGGAUUAGCUAGUAGGUGGGGUAACGGCUCACCUAGGCGACGAUCCCUAGCUGGUCUGAGAGGAUGACCAGCCACACUGGAACUGAGACACGGUCCAGACUCCUACGGGAGGCAGCAGUGGGGAAUAUUGCACAAUGGGCGCAAGCCUGAUGCAGCCAUGCCGCGUGUAUGAAGAAGGCCUUCGGGUUGUAAAGUACUUUCAGCGGGGAGGAAGGGAGUAAAGUUAAUACCUUUGCUCAUUGACGUUACCCGCAGAAGAAGCACCGGCUAACUCCGUGCCAGCAGCCGCGGUAAUACGGAGGGUGCAAGCGUUAAUCGGAAUUACUGGGCGUAAAGCGCACGCAGGCGGUUUGUUAAGUCAGAUGUGAAAUCCCCGGGCUCAACCUGGGAACUGCAUCUGAUACUGGCAAGCUUGAGUCUCGUAGAGGGGGGUAGA
rnacentral:rRNA from 1 species